AUUGAACGCUGGCGGCAUGCUUUACACAUGCAAGUCGAACGGCAGCGCGGGCUUCGGCCUGGCGGCGAGUGGCGAACGGGUGAGUAAUACAUCGGAACGUGCCCAGUAGUGGGGGAUAGCUCGGCGAAAGCCGGAUUAAUACCGCAUACGACCUGAGGGUGAAAGCGGGGGAUCUUCGGACCUCGCGCUAUUGGAGCGGCCGAUGGCAGAUUAGCUAGUUGGUGGGGUAAAGGCCUACCAAGGCGACGAUCUGUAGCUGGUCUGAGGGGACGACCAGCCACACUGGGUCUGAGACACGGCCCAGACUCCUACGGGAGGCAGCAGUGGGGAAUUUUGGACAAUGGGCGAAAGCCUGAUCCAGCAAUGCCGCGUGUGUGAUGAAGGCCUUCGGGUUGUAAAGCACUUUUGGCGGGAACGAAAAGGACUGUGCCAAUACCACGGUUCGAUGACGGUACCCGCAGAAUAAGCACCGGCUAACUACGUG
rnacentral:rRNA from 1 species